UUCAGAAUGGUUGCUACCUUGUUUGCUAAACUGGGAAUUACAAGAAUGUGCACUGGAAGCAGCAAAGAACAGAUGACUGAAAUCAGAAUGCAUCUGUAGGUUGGACAGGGGUAAAGGUCUCCAAACUAUAAUGGGAAGUCGUACAGAGAAAGAUGGGCAAAGACGCUGAAGUUUUCAUCCUGUAUUUGGAGAAUGUGAAUGGGUAUGAGGUGAUACCAGUGGCAGAUCUACAUUGUGGUACAUUCAACGCUCUGAACAAACAUUAACUGUUUAAUCUUCCUCUCCUGGUGGACACAAAAGGACCAGAGAAUUUUUUUCAGAGCUUCUCCCCGGCAACAGUGUGGUCAGACUUUUGUGAAUCUGCUGCCAUUGUGCCUCCUGUCAUCUGUUUCAGCUCAUCCUGGAGACUACAGUGUGUCACAGUGACAGACAUGAGUCCAUUGCCAAUUAAGCUGUAAAUAAUCUUUUUAUAUACUUCUUUACCCAGACUAGGCAAAGCUGUACUUCUUGUGGAGAGCUAACAGUAGGGAAAGUCAAAACUUGGAAAAACUCUAUUUGAGUUGUAGUAUAAGUGGACAAAUAAAGUAGUCUUUCUGCAAAAGUCAAACAUAAUUUUUUGGAACGCUGUAAUACAAAAAUGGCUUGACCAAUUUCCCACAAAAAACAUUCAAGUUUGGUCUGAGAUGAAGCACAAUAAUUUGCAAGCAGAAAGUAGUUAUUUAGCCAAAGUUAAAAGCUGCUUACUAAUAAUGUUUAGACUAGAAUAGGUCUUUUAAAUUUUAGAGUUAUGACUUAUUGCUCCUUAAAUCAUUGAGGUUAUUCUGCAUAUAUGACCAUAUUUAUGAGGAAAUAUGAACUAGUGUCACAUUACAACUGUGGUGUAGGUCAGAGAUUUACAGGGAAGCCAAAAGCUCAAAAAGUAAUAGAAAAAAAAUUCAGUACAUCAGAAGCAGGAAGCCUG